UACGUAGGGACCAAGCGUUGUUCGGAUUUACUGGGCGUAAAGGGCGCGUAGGCGGCAAUUCAAGUCAUCUGUGAAAUCUCCGGGCUUAACCCGGAACGGUCAGGUGAUACUGUUUUGCUAGAGUGCGGAAGGGGCAAUCGGAAUUCUCGGUGUAGCGGUGAAAUGCGUAGAUAUCUGGAGGAAUACCGGUGGCGAAGGCGGCAUCCUGGACCGGCAUUGACGCUGAGGAGCGAAAGCUAGGGGAGCAAACGGGG
rnacentral:rRNA from 1 species